UAUAGCUCAGCGAUAGGAAAAGGCCCACUGUUGGGGAUCUUGGGGCUAAUUGGUGUUUUAUCUUGUCUCUUCUAAAAUAUUUUUGCCAUGAAACAAGUUAUUCAACAUUUCUUGCUAUUCUCGGUGCAUGAACUGCUUUCUUAAUUUUGUGUCUUACCCGUCGCUUGAUAUCGUAGUAGAUGCUACACUACAUUAUGAGCCACACGCACACCAACCAGCUCAGAAUUCAGUGGAUGAAUUCUUCGACAAGAAAGUUUAGAAAGAAUGCUAGGGUGGUGGCCUCGGGUGUAGCUAGGAACCUGAACAAAGUGGGCAACUACAUAAAGGAAAACAUUGAUGACAUUUUGUAUCCUUAUCGCAAGCCACCCAAGUAAAACCUUCUAUUGACUAACAACGCAGGUGCGAUUGUUUGAACUUUGUUUCUUUCUAUUCCAUGUUCAAUAAGCUCAAUUCUACCUAGAUGCUGCAUAUGAGUUUGGCCAUUGCUGGUAGUAACCACAAGGCCAAUGUAAGCAGCGCUGGAGCACUUAGCACUUGAGUUCAAAGUUUUGUCAUAUGUUGCAUAUAUUUUACUUUUCUAGUGAUAACAUGUAAAGUUUAUCCAUUGAAACUUCUUUAUAAUAUGGACUUUAUUAAUGAG